rnacentral:lncRNA from 1 species
GCUCCACAAUGAGUAACCAGGACAAGAUUGAACACAGAUCAGUCUAGUUCCAGACUCCACUGGGUGCCUUCCAUCAUUGCCCUAAAAUAACCUGAGGUAAACCAGGAAGAAAUGGUGAAUUAAAAAGUUAAUAACUAGCAUUUUAACCAGUGUUGGCAUUAGUGAAGCCAAACAUCUAGUAGUUCAGUGUAGUCACUGAAAGUGAGAGACUUUCAUGAUGGAUUCUGAAUAGACAGUAACAGACUACACAACUCCCCAAGUGGUUGGCAUUUAGAUCAGUGCUUCUCAUUCUAUUUGUGAUGAAGAGUUAUCGUUUACGUUUGUUUUAAUUUCCAAUCCAUUGCACACUUUGUGGAAAGCAAUAAAAAUAAAAUAUUACAAAAGGAAGUGAAAAAGUAAAGCAAAAUAUAAAGAAAUAUAAAGAAAAUGAACUCAAUUAUUUAUAACUACAUUUGACAAACAAUCCCACUGAUCACAUGCUAGGAUAUAGCAGCAAUGUCAAAGUGCCAUAAAAGUUUCUAAAUGUUCACACGUGACUUCUGUUCUUAUUGUGGACUCAUGACAAGCUGUUCUCAGACCAAUUGAGGUCAGAAGGCUUUACUGUGAUGGUCAUAUCCAGAGAACUUGAUGGAGGCCAUAUCACUUGUUGCUUUCCUUUCUAGAAGCACAUGUACACAGUAUAAAAAUGUCAGAGCUUCUCAAGUUCUGGGUCAUUAUGCUUAGAAACUUCUGAAAUCUCAGCAAUUUGCACAAAUGCUGCUGAUUAAAAGUAAAGUGAAGCAUUCAGAACUUUUGAGUCAUUUUAUAACAACACAGUCAAAUGUUUGGAAUGGCCAACAUAUUCUGUUUUUCAUGCUUCAUGCUUCCUGCUCUCCAGGUCAUUACAUUGUUUUUCAGGAAAAAUAUUUUUGAUUGACUCAAGCAGUGGACAAUCGACUCCCUACAUUUUUUUAUUUUAAAUGAAACAAUUACACAAUUUUUUUUGUCUUAAAAUUAACCUUUAGAAAACAAGGUUGUUAAAUGUAUCCUAUAAUCUUGUUACUUUGGAAUUGUCAAAUGUUAAAGGCAUUUUUCACUUCUAAUCAUCGACAUAGUACUU